GACGAGCUGUCCUAACGUUGUUCGGAAUCACUGGGCUUAAAGGGCGCGUAGGCGGUCCGACAAGUCAGGGGUGAAAUCCUGCAGCUUAACUGCAGAAGUGCCUUUGAUACUGUCGGUCUUGAGGGAGAUAGGGGUGUGCGGAACUCACAGUGGAGCGGUGAAAUGCGUUGAUAUUGUGAGGAACGCCGGAGGCGAAAGCGGCGCACUGGAUCUCUUCUGACGCUGAGGCGCGAAAGCUAGGGGAGCAAACGGG
rnacentral:rRNA from 1 species